GCUCGCGCCGCCGGGGGCGGGGGGGGGGGGGGUGCGUGGGGGAGGGGGCGGCUGCGGCGCCGCGCGGCCAGCCCGGUCCGAGGCUCCACGGCCGCUCGCGCUCGCUAGCUCGCUCCCUCUCCCGCUCCUUGGCUCGCUGGCUCUCGCGUCCCACGGCCCCCCCCCCCGCGCCCCCCCUCCGUCCCCGCUCAGCGCAUUACUGGGUAACGCAGUGAGAAGCAGUUACAGUCUGUCCUCCCGGGCAGCUAUAGGCUGCCACAGGAUGUGCUUAAGCAAACAAAACUACUUUUCCUCAUCCCCAUCCCCCAACUCCCGCCGCAGACCUUCGCGGACCUCGGGGGAGGACUUGGGCAACUUUGCCAGGUGGCCCGGUACCCCCAGGUUCGCGGCGUGGACAAGGAGAGAACCUGGGACAAGGCCCGCGGGACGAUUUGCAUGUAUGCAAAUUUUUUAAAAUCGGACCUCCUAGGAAAAAAAAUUGUUAAAGGGAUGCCCCCUCGGAAGGAGAGACAUUCUGGUCCACCACCGCCUGCCCAGAACUGGACACAGUCUAUCAUCGCCGUCCCUGGGCCUGGGACACCUCUGGAAGGGUGCCUUUUAAGAAUCCCCUUUUUUUCCCUCCCCCAGGUAAUAGUUCUUAAAAUGGAAAAGAGCUUCCUGCAAUUAUUUUAGGUUUGCUAAAGUAUUGUUUUGGCAGAAAAGGGGGGUGGUUUUUAGGGUUUGGCCAGUUGCCAAUAAGCCUGCUUUUCCAGUUUUUUUUUUUUUUAAACCUCGUAUUUUCUCUCUAGGCUCUCCUCCCUGCUUGGGGGGGGGGGGGCGUGUGGACUAUACCUCCUUCAUCCAAACCCCCAUCCCAUCUCUUCCCCUCAUCUCCCGCACUCUAGUUUGCAGCCUGCUGCAAAUCCUCAAAAUUCCAAAAGGAAAGACGAGUGUAUCAUGUUGAAAGACACUGGCACACAGACAGGGUAACAUACACCUUGGUAGAGGUUACAUAGCUUAGACAGCCUCUGAAAAGAGGGAAUUCCUGUAGUAAUGCCCACUCUGCAGGUGAGGGUCAGGUGAGGUGUUAAAGGUCACACUCAUUCAGAAACAUACCCUUCUUUUUUAAAUAAGGGGAGACAAAUAUGGUACUGGGGAAAGCAAAAUAAAAUCCCCUGAAAUAUU